UACGAAGGGUGCAAGCGUUGCUCGGAAUUAUUGGGCGUAAAGGGUAGGUAGGUGGUAAUAAAAGUCUGGGGUGAAAUCCCUGAGCUCAACUCAGGACGUGCCUUGGAAACUUUAUUACUAGAGUGCUGGAGAGGUCCGCAGAAUUCCCGGUGUAGCGGUGAAAUGCGUAGAGAUCGGGAGGAAUACCAGAGGCGAAGGCGGCGGACUGGACAGUCACUGACACUCAACUACGAAAGCGUGGGUAGCAAACAGG
rnacentral:rRNA from 1 species